GUGUCUGUAGCUUAGGUGGUUAAAGCACUCGCCUGUGGCGCGAGAGAUCACCGGUUCGAGUCCGGUCAGACACCCGA
rnacentral:tRNA from 1 species